GUUCAGACGGGAGAGGCUGUAGCGAUUAUGUGCUUGUAACACUCAUAAGCGUAUAGCUUUUCCCCUUUGAAC
rnacentral:pre_miRNA from 1 species